rnacentral:rRNA from 1 species
CCGACCUUGAAAUACCACCCUUUAAUGUUUGAUGUUCUAACGUGGACCCGUGAUCCGGGUUGCGGACAGUGUCUGGUGGGUAGUUUGACUGGGGCGGUCUCCUCCUAAAGAGUAACGGAGGAGCACGAAGGUUGGCUAAUCCUGGUCGGACAUCAGGAGGUUAGUGCAAUGGCAUAAGCCAGCUUGACUGCGAGCGUGACGGCGCGAGCAGGUGCGAAAGCAGGUCAUAGUGAUCCGGUGGUUCUGAAUGGAAGGGCCAUCGCUCAACGGAUAAAAGGUACUCCGGGGAUAACAGGCUGAUACCGCCCAAGAGUUCAUAUCGACGGCGGUGUUUGGCACCUCGAUGUCGGCUCAUCACAUCCUGGGGCUGAAGUAGGUCCCAAGGGUAUGGCUGUUCGCCAUUUAAAGUGGUACGCGAGCUGGGUUUAGAACGUCGUGAGACAGUUCGGUCCCUAUCUGCCGUGGGCGCUGGAGAACUGAGGGGGGCUGCUCCUAGUACGAGAGGACCGGAGUGGACGCAUCACUGGUGUUCGGGUUGUCAUGCCAAUGGCACUGCCCGGUAGCUAAAUGCGGAAGAGAUAAGUGCUGAAAGCAUCUAAGCACGAAACUUGCCCCGAGAUGAGUUCUCCCUGACCCUUUAAGGGUCCUGAAGGAACGUUGAAGACGACGACGUUGAUAGGCCGGGUGUGUAAGCGCAGCGAUGCGUUGAGCUAACCGGUACUAAUGAACCGUGAGGCUUAACCUUACAACGCCGAAG